rnacentral:rRNA from 1 species
CCUUACCAACCCUUGACAUCCUGAUCGCGGUUACGAGAGAUCGUUUCCUUCAGUUCGGCUGGAUCAGUGACAGGUGCUGCAUGGCUGUCGUCAGCUCGUGUCGUGAGAUGUUCGGUUAAGUCCGGCAACGAGCGCAACCCACAUCCCUAGUUGCCAGCAGUUCGGCUGGGCACUCUAUGGAAACUGCCCGUGAUAAGCGGGAGGAAGGUGUGGAUGACGUCAAGUCCUCAUGGCCCUUACGGGUUGGGCUACACACGUGCUACAAUGGCAGUGACAAUGGGUUAAUCCCAAAAAAACUGUCUCAGUUCGGAUUGGGGUCUGCAACUCGACCCCAUGAAGUCGGAAUCGCUAGUAAUCGCGUAACAGCAUGACGCGGUGAAUACGUUCCC